GGCGCUGUGGUGCAGUGGUUAACACCCUGGCCUAAAGUGCCAGCAUCCCAUAUGGGCUGGGUUAGGGUUAGGGUUCAAGACCCAGCUGCUCCA
rnacentral:tRNA from 1 species